AUUGAACGCUGGCGGCAGGCCUAAUACAUGCAAGUCGAACGAGUGGCGGACGGGUGAGUAAUGUAUGGGGAUCUGCCCGAUAGAGGGGGAUAACUACUGGAAACGGUGGCUAAUACCGCAUACCAUCAGAUGUGCCCAGAUGGGAUUAGCUAGUAGGUGGGGUAACGGCUCACCUAGGCGACGAUCCCUAGCUGGUCUGAGAGGAUGACCAGCCACACUGGAACUGAGACACGGUCCAGACUCCUACGGGAGGCAGCAGUGGGGAAUAUUGCACAAUGGGCGCAAGCCUGAUCCAGCCAUGCCGCGUGUGUGAAGAAGGUCUUCGGAUUGUAAAGCACUUUAAGUUGGGAGGCGUUACCAACAGAAUAAGCACCGGCUAACUUCGUGCCAGCAGCCGCGGUAAUAC
rnacentral:rRNA from 1 species